GAUUAAGUUAUUAAGGGCGCACGGUGGAUGCCUUGGCACUAGAAGCCGAUGAAGGACGUUACUAACGACGAUAUGCUUUGGGGAGCUGUAAGUAAGCUUUGAUCCAGAGAUUUCCGAAUGGGGAAACCCAGCAUGAGUUAUGUCAUGUUAUCGAUAUGUGAAUACAUAGCAUAUCAGAAGGCACACCCGGAGAACUGAAACAUCUUAGUACCCGGAGGAAGAGAAAGAAAAUUCGAUUCUCUUAGUAGCGGCGAGCGAAACGGGAAGAGCCCAAACCAACAAGCUUGCUUGUUGGGGUUGUAGGACACUCUAUACGGAGUUACAAAGGACGACAUUAGACGAAUCAUCUGGAAAGAUGAAUCAAAGAAGGUAAUAAUCCUGUAGUCGAAAAUGUUGUCUCUCUUGAGUGGAUCCUGAGUACGACGGAGCACGUGAAAUUCCGUCGGAAUCUGGGAGGACCAUCUCCUAAGGCUAAAUACUCUCUAGUGACCGAUAGUGAACCAGUACCGUGAGGGAAAGGUGAAAAGCACCCCGGAAGGGGAGUGAAAUAGAACCUGAAACCGUGUGCUUACAAGUAGUCAGAGCCCAUUAAUGGGUGAUGGCGUGCCUUUUGUAGAAUGAACCGGCGAGUUACGAUUUGAUGCAAGGUUAAGCAGUAAAUGUGGAGCCGUAGCGAAAGCGAGUCUGAAUAGGGCGUUUAGUAUUGGGUCGUAGACCCGAAACCAGGUGAUCUAUCCUUGGUCAGGUUGAAGUUCAGGUAACACUGAAUGGAGGACCGAACCGACUUACGUUGAAAAGUGAGCGGAUGAACUGAGGGUAGCGGAGAAAUUCCAAUCGAACCUGGAGAUAGCUGGUUCUCUCCGAAAUAGCUUUAGGGCUAGCCUCAAGUGAUGAUUAUUGGAGGUAGAGCACUGUUUGGACGAGGGGCCCCUCUCGGGUUACCGAAUUCAGACAAACUCCGAAUGCCAAUUAAUUUAACUUGGGAGUCAGAACAUGGGUGAUAAGGUCCGUGUUCGAAAGGGAAACAGCCCAGACCACCAGCUAAGGUCCCAAAAUAUAUGUUAAGUGGAAAAGGAUGUGGCGUUGCCCAGACAACUAGGAUGUUGGCUUAGAAGCAGCCAUCAUUUAAAGAGUGCGUAAUAGCUCACUAGUCGAGUGACACUGCGCCGAAAAUGUACCGGGGCUAAACAUAUUACCGAAGCUGUGGAUUGUCCUUUGGACAAUGGUAGGAGAGCGUUCUAAGGGCGUUGAAGCAUGAUCGUAAGGACAUGUGGAGCGCUUAGAAGUGAGAAUGCCGGUGUGAGUAGCGAAAGACGGGUGAGAAUCCCGUCCACCGAUUGACUAAGGUUUCCAGAGGAAGGCUCGUCCGCUCUGGGUUAGUCGGGUCCUAAGCUGAGGCCGACAGGCGUAGGCGAUGGAUAACAGGUUGAUAUUCCUGUACCACCUAUAAUCGUUUUAAUCGAUGGGGGGACGCAGUAGGAUAGGCGAAGCGUGCGAUUGGAUUGCACGUCUAAGCAGUAAGGCUGAGUAUUAGGCAAAUCCGGUACUCGUUAAGGCUGAGC
rnacentral:rRNA from 1 species